AGGCUCUGGAAUUCUUUGAUUCUAAAAGCUCCUGUGUUCUUAUACUUUUGAGAUCCCUGUUUAGACUGUGGACAUCUACUUGAGUUUACCCAUCCACUUCCUUCCCGGGAGCUCAGUGCUCCCCUGCACAUCAUGGAACUGGUUUUCAUUAUUUCUUUGCUUCAGAGCCUUGUUAAUUUUGUGUGCCACACCUGCUUCAAGAGGCAGGAGAAGCUCCAUCGCUGUGGGCAGUGCAAGUUUGCCCAUUACUGCGACCGCACCUGCCAGAAGGAUGCUUGGCUGAACCACAAGAAUGAAUGUUCGGCCAUCAAGAGAUAUGGGAAAGUGCCCAAUGAGAACAUCAGGCUGGCGGCGCGCAUCAUGUGGCGGGUGGAGAGAGAAGGCACCGGGCUCACGGAGGGCUGCCUGGUGUCCGUGGACGACUUGCAGAACCACGUGGAGCACUUCGGGGAGGAGGAGCAGAAGGAGCUGCGGGUGGACGUGGACACGUUCUUGCAGUACUGGCUGCCCCAGAGCCAGCAGUUCAGCAUGCAGUACAUCUCACACAUCUUCGGAGUGAUUAACUGCAACGG
rnacentral:sRNA from 1 species